rnacentral:tRNA from 1 species
AGCGCUCUUAAUUUAGCUCGGUAGAAUAUGGGUCUUUAAAACCCAAUUUCGUAGGUUCAAAUCCUACAGAGCGCGAG